AGCCAUCACUACUAGCUCACACUCCAGUUGACCCACUCCACUACACCAUAGACAAGGAUACUAUAGAUACCUCCCUUACAACCUGUUACAAUAUUCUCAAUAUUCAAACAAGUAAAGGUGGGAAGACAUGCCUUGUAGGCUUGGAGGAUAAUACUAAAGUGCUCCUCUGAUUGCUGUGUCUUUUUCUUUUUCAGAUGGAUGACGUCCACAGCCCUUUGCCAGAGUCUGACAAAUAUCUGGGUGUAUUUGAUAUAAUCUUCAGGUAAGCUCUAAUGUUGAAUUUAAAAUUCUGCCAUUGAAAAAAUAUAUAAUUCUUAAGGACAUUGACAAUUGUACGUUAUAAUUAUUUUUGACUACUGGUCUCACUCUUGCAGUAAUGGAUCAGUCAUUGCAAACUCGACAUUAAUGUUUAUGACUACAUUCAUGAUCAUUCCAACUUUGGUUAAAGGUCUACUUUCCACUCAUAUCCAAUCAAAUAAAUCCAAAACCCUUGCUCUGGACCUCGCCUAUACUGAAGGUAAAGAAGAUGGCAACCUUAUCUACUUCUGCUGUGUAGAAGCCUGAUUCAUUUGUAUGUUAAAAAAACUGUUUUGUAAAUAGCUUAAGAAACUGUUAUUAGUCAAAUAAAGCAGGAAUCACAAAUAUGUUCUUUAUUCCUUAGGUCAACUUCCAAUAAAAGCCACACUACCUCUUGUAGCACGUACCACAGCAACCGUAACUUCCUCACCACCAUCUACCACAAAUACCCCUGCAGCGACGACUACUACAGCUGCCUUAGUUAGUACGGCUAGCAGUUCAGGAAGGGUCGGGAUGACAUUGCAUCUACAGCAAUGAUUUCAUCUGGCAACAUCACCAGUCUUGCAACAGUUAGUAUCACAAGUAGUCAUACCCUCACAACCACCACCACUAGUCCUGACCAAAACAGUACAAUUAGCAGCAUUACCACUCAUAUUCCUGAAGACCAUAGCAGUACAAUUAGCAGCAUUACCACUCAUAUUCCUGAAGAACAUAACAGUACAAUUAGCAGCAUUACCACUCAUAUUCCUGAAGAACAUAACACUACAAUUAGCAACAUUACCACUCAUAUUCCUGAAGACCAUAACAGUACAAUUAGCAGCAUUACCACUCAUAUUCCUGAAGAACAUAACACUACAAUUAGCAACAUUACCACUCAUAUUCCUGAAGACCAUAACAGUACAAUUAGCAGCAUUACCACUCAUAUUCCUGAAGAACAUAACACUACAAUUAGCAACAUUACCACUCAUAUUCCUGAAGAACAUAACACUACAAUUAGCAGCAUUACCACUCAUAUUCCUGAAGAACAUAACACUACAAUUAGCAGCAUUACCACUCAUAUUCUUGAAGAACAUAACACUACAAUUAGCAGCAUUACCACUCAUAUUCCUGAAGAACAAUACACAACAAUUAGCAGCAUUACCACUCAUAUUCCUGAAGAACAUAACACUACAAUUAGCAGCAUUACCACUCAUAUUCCUGAAGAACAAUACACUACAAUUAGCAGCAUUACCACUCAUAUUCCUGAAGAACAUAACACUACAAUUAGCAGCAUUACCACUCAUAUUCCUGAAGAACAAUACACUACAAUUAGCAGCAUUACCACUCAUAUUCCUGAAGAACAUAACACUACAAUUAGCAGCAUUACCACUCAUAUUCCUGAAGAACAAUACACUACAAUUAGCAGCAUUACCACUCAUAUUCCUGAAGAACAUAACACUACAAUUAGCAACAUUACUACUCAUAUUCCUGAAGACCAAAACACAACAAUUAGCAACGUAACCACCCAUAUUCCUGGAGACCAUAACACUACAAUUAGCAACACAACCACCCCUAUUACCCCUAAAAAUCCUCCCCAGACCAGUAACACGACAGUCUUUCGUAAAACCUCUCCAUCAACAACUACCUCGGGCCAAUCUAACCCCCCAGUUGCCCCUACUGAGAGAGCAACAAGCAAGUAUCAGGCUGCUACGGGCCAAACAACCAGUCAUAAGAACACAGAGAAUACGGAGGUGACCCAUAAGACCACAGAGAAUGCUGCAGCUGUAGUUGCUGGGGGCAGAGAGGGAGUCCCAGGAUGGGGGAUCGCUCUAUUGGUACUGGCUGCCCUGAUCUUGUUAAUCCUCCUUAUUCUCCUAAUACUGCUGCUAGUGUGGUUGUGCUGUAGGCAGAGAGAUGGAAGCUUCAGCCCAUAUAACCAGAUCAACCACGGGGCAGACAUCCAAAUGUACUCCACACACAGCCGCUUCGACGUGCCCAACGGCAAGCCUAAUGUAAGUCCUAUGUCUUGGCAGAGAGGCCAGAUAGACACACACACACAGGCUCAGAUUCUGCAUUCAGCAGGUUGGCUAUGGUUACUAAGACUGGCCGCUCUGCCUCAGUGUUAGAUAGAUGUCUCUUUGUGCCCUUCUGGUUUUGACCAGGGAAACCUGAGGCGUGGGAAACACUAGCCUUCCCCUCUACCCUCUCAGCCGAACUACCCCUGUAGCUUCCAGAGAGGGUCGCAAGCCAUACUCCUCCCCCCAAGCCACCUAUUUUCAUUUGAUGCACCAAGUUGCUUAUCUCCGAAAUCAAACCCCCACAUAAGCAGAUAUUCUUGGUAGACCAGACAACCAAUUAAACACAAUCAUCUGUGAGCUGUGAGUUUAUAGCUUUAAUCCUGCCUUGGGUACGUAUGAGGGAUGAUACCAGAGUUAUCAUCCAAGGACCUUCCUGUAUGGGACAUGUUACUCAUCAAUAUCACUUUGAAUGACUGGCAACACCCUGAUUUGACUGAAAAAAGGUAGUGUUUAUUGUGGACAUAAAAAAUAUAUAUUCUCGAUUGAGCUAUGAAAGGGAUGCUAAAUACAAAUGCCAUGGGAUCUACCAACGUCAGGGAGAGUGAGAUCUCUCCCUUAACACCAAACAAAAAGACCAUUGACUGUACUAAUGAGACUUGCAUGUUCAUCACACUGCAGUGCACACCUCAAGCACACACACACACACAUGAGAGGUUGUGAAGUGAGGAGGAAAUCUACUCAGGUUUUUUCUAGCGUUGAUAUGUAUGCAUCAUAGAUAUUUGUUUAGUAUUGGAAAUGUACAGUUUGAGUUAGCUUACACUGUAUAUUGCUUAUAUUCAAUCUACUGUAUAAGGAUAUUGUUGCGUAUAUGUGUUUAUGCACUUCAUAUAAUUGUGUUACAUUUACGUAGAUAUAUUUUUUAAUUCUGUGUUGCUGCUAGCGGUGGUAUGAACAUGUUUGUCAUGUUGUUUUGGAAAGGGGACAGUGGAAGACAUUGGAGGACUAUUUGUUCACAGCCUCCAACUCUCCUUGAUCAAUUUACUGAGCAUGGUCGUUCCGUACUAGUCUGCCAACAUUUUCUCAGAGACUGACUAGCAUAUAAUGAGAAGAGUGCCCCCUCUGUCACCUGUCUCUAUGGCAACGGACAGCAGACAGACACAUUGUAAUCCACAACCACUGUUCUCUUUACAUGACCUUCUCCUCCCAAAGCCCUUUUUAUUGAUGAAUCACCGGUUUGAUUUAUUGUUACAAUUCAGCAGAAUGGAUGUCUUUCAAGCUUCGUUAACUAAGGCUUUAGAACAGACGAACAUCUGUAAGAUAAGCUAACAUUGCAGUUCUAUACAACAGGUCAAAAACAGACUGCAAUAUUCAGUUUUGCCUGUAAAUUAUUUUGUGUGCAGUAUUAUCUUUACAGACUGUUUUAAACCUUUGAUGAGAUGAUACUUUCUCUGAUACAGGGUGAAAUGGGGGGACCAUUGAAAAACCGAACAGGGAUGCAUGUGGUGAACGAGUACUGACACAUAGGUACAGUAGGUGACACACUUUCUGUAUGCUUAUGUACUUCAGUGGUACUGUCAGGUACACAGAGGAAGUGUAGUUUCAUGUUUUAAAUUCCAGGAGACAAUCUCCCCUGAAUGCUUUCUUUCCUUCUAUACAUCAGGGGGAUGGGGUUCAAUGUGAGGUUUGAAUAGGUAGACUACUGAUUAUUGUAGAUAUAGGUGUGUAGAGAUGUGUCAACAUACAUAUUGAUUAAACACAUUGAAGUAACUUCCUAAGAAAACACAUCACUCAUGUAAUGUUGAAGAUACUGUAUAUAUUUAAUUGAAGUAAUUGACUGUUUUUACGAUUGGUUGUUUUUUUGUCCCUUCCCUACUUCUCUUUCCUCCAGAAGCUCCAGUCAAUUGGGUAAGAAGACCAUCUGAAAUGACCUUAUGAAGUAAUAUGCAUGGGAGCAAUGACAAUUCUGUACAAAUGGUCCAAUUAUCUCUGAAGAUCAUGGCGUUGGCUCACUGAUUGUAAUUUCAACCUGUAUUUAUUCAAAUCAAAUUGAUUUAUAAAGCCCUUUUUACAUCCGCUGGUGUCACAAAGUGCUAUACAGAAACGCAGCCUAAAACCCCAAACAGCAAGCAAUGCAGAUGUCCUGUUAUUUUAUUCCUAAUGUUUUUACCAGUGGAGGCUGCUGAGGGGAGGACGGCUCAUAAUAAUAGCCGGAAUGGAGUCAAUGGAAUGGUAUCAAACACGUGGUUUCCAUGUGAAUGGUAUCAAACACAUGGUUUCCAUGUGAAUGGUAUCAAACACAUGGUUUCCAUGUGGUUGUUACCAUUCCAUUGACUCCAUUUGUAUUUCGUAUUAUUCUGUACGUAAAUCAGAGACACUCCAUUUAGUAUAUGUUACUCCUCCCCGACCAACCUCCCUACUUUAGUUUCUGUCUAAAGUAACCAGGCCAUUGAAAGGUAUCAUAUGUCUUGAUGUGCUCAGAAAUAUAUAAAUGAUGUUUCUAAUGGCUCUGAGGCCAUGCUAGCCAUUUUGGCUUCCUUGUGGUUAUGGGUUGAGUUGUAUUUUCAGUCUUUACUGAAGGCAAGCUUAACCUUGGUAAAAAAGAAAGCUGAUCCUAGAUCAGUAAAUGGGGUCAACAUAUGUAUCCUGCAAUUAACAUUGAAGAAGAAUGAGUAGGGGUGCCCCUAAGGACAAUACCCAAUCAGGUACAGUUAACAAGAAGUUAAUUGUUUUCAAAGACUGUAAAUCAAACCUUUUGACUUGGGCUGAGAGAUCCAGAUCUAAUUCCCUACCACUGGAUAAGACAUGUUUUGAGAUAGGAUACUAGCAUGCCAACAAGUUAACUAUUCCACAAACCCAACCCAGUGAGUAAAACACCAAUGUUAUGUAUAUUUGACAAUCUGAUUAAAUAAAUCCACCAUUAUUAAUCAAAUCUGUGAGAUGUAACUAUCUGUAAACAUUUGAAGUGACUGUGCAUUGGAGCUUUGAACUUUGCAUUAAAAAAAUCUAAAUAAUUUUGGGAU
ensembl:lncRNA uncharacterized protein PB18E9.04c-like